rnacentral:rRNA from 1 species
AGCGAACGCUGGCGGUGGGCUUAACACAUGCAAGUCGAACGUGAAAAUCUUCGGAUGAGUAAAGUGGCGUACGGGUGAGUAACACGUAGGUAAUCUACCUUAGAGUUUGGAAUAACCUGCCGAAAGGCGGGCUAAUACUGGAUAGAGCGAAGAAGUCAUAAUGACUUUUUCGGGAAAGGGAGGCCGCAAGGUCCCUCGCUUUAAGAUGAGCCUGCGUCCCAUUAGCUUGUUGGUGAGGUAAAAGCUUACCAUGGCAACGAUGGGUAGCUGGUCUGAGAGGAUGAUCAGCCACGCUGGAACUGAAACACGGUCCAG